UACACGAGCGGCGAACGGGUGAGUAACACGUGAGCAAUCUGCCCUUCACUUUGGGAUAACCACCGGAAACGGUGGCUAAUACCGAAUAUGACCAGUCUCUGCAUGGAGUGCUGGUGGAAAGUUCCGGCGGUGGAGGAUGAGCUCGCGGCCUAUCAGCUUGUUGGUGGGGUAAUGGCCUACCAAGGCGACGACGGGUAGCCGGCCUGAGAGGGUGACCGGCCACACUGGGACUGAGACACGGCCCAGACUCCUACGGGAGGCAGCAGUGGGGAAUAUUGGACAAUGGGCGAAAGCCUGAUCCAGCAACGCCGCGUGAGGGAUGACGGCCCUCGGGUUGUAAACCUCUUUCAGUAGGGACGAAGCUAACGUGACGGUACCUACAGAAGAAGCACCGGCCAACUACGUGCCAGCAGCCGCGGUAAUACGUAGGGUGCGAGCGUUGUCCGGAAUUAUUGGGCGUAAAGGGCUCGUAGGCGGUUUGUCGCGUCGGGAGUGAAAACUCGGGGCUUAACUCCGAGCCUGCUUCCGAUACGGGCAGACUAGAGGUAUGCAGGGGAGAACGGAAUUCCUGGUGUAGCGGUGAAAUGCGCAGAUAUCAGGAGGAACACCGGUGGCGAAGGCGGUUCUCUGGGCAUUACCUGACGCUGAGGAGCGAAAGUGUGGGGAGCGAACAGGAUUAGAUACCCUGGUAGUCCACACCGUAAACGUUGGGCGCUAGGUGUGGGACUCAUUCCACG
rnacentral:rRNA from 1 species